rnacentral:rRNA from 1 species
UACGUAGGGGGCAAGCGUUGUCCGAAUUUAUUGGGCGUAAAGAGCGUGUAGGCGGCUGGGUAGGUCCGUUGUGAAAACUCGAGGCUCAACCUCGAGACGUCGGUUGAAACCGUACGGCUAGAGUCCGGAAGAGGAGAGUGGAAUCCCCGGUGUAGCGGUGAAAUGCGCAGAUAUCGGGAAGAACACCCGUGGCGAAGGCGGCUCUCUGGGACGGUACUGACGCUGAGACGCGAAAGCGUGGGGAGCGAACAGG